CUUCUAGUGAGCUGUAAUGGCAUUGCUGUUGUUUUCCUGAAUAGUUAUGAGUUGAGGUAGAAGGAAUAAGCAAACAUCUGAGCAAGUGUGAGCAUGGGCAGAGUCAGAGACCAACUGGAAGAAAAGGAGCUGCAAGGUUCUUAAUCACUGUGUGGUACCAGUGAAGAUUUCACUCUUCC
rnacentral:lncRNA from 12 species